AGCAAUGAGGAAUUGGCUCCAUGAAGUCACUCCAGCCAGGCUCCAUAGCCACAAUUCUCCAGACAGGAAGUGCAUGCCCCACCCAUUAUAAGUUUCACCACCUCUCAAUAGCACCAUCAGCUGAGGACCAAACCUUCUACACAUGAGAUGUUGGAGGACAUUUAAGAUCCAAGAUUAGAAGUCAUGCAAGCCUCCUUGUCUUGAAGGCUCUGGCAUAGGGAGUGCUGAUGUGAAAGCUCAAGCUCUGUGCAUUUAGCUCUAAGCUGAGGCAUCAGUUCCUACUUACCUGCAUGAAUUCCUUCAAUCUCUGGCUGGAGUGAAAUCUAGAGCUGGGGACUGAAGCAUAACUUCGGAAGCAGAGGCUGUAAAGGCCCAAGCAGAACCAUGGGAGUAGCUACUCCUUCACAUUCCUCCCAGGAAGACCAUAGGGACUUCCUGUGCCGUCUUGGAGAAGCCACAAAAGUCCAAGCACCUGAUGUCCUAUCAUAGGACCCAGAUCCACAAGGCCAGGAUGGUUUAUGCAAGAUGACAGUGCCAGAUACAGGAAAAUUUAACAGGCUCUAAGACAAGCUGACAUAACCACCCCGUGGUACAAUUCUAUCACAAGAAGAAAGAUCUUUUGGAAAUGUGUCCCUAGCCAAUGGGAAUUACUGGACUUCACUCACCCCACCAAAUAAUACAAACUUACUGCUCUCUUUGUUUUCUGAGCAGCAGCUUGGUAAUUCUCUCAACCAGUUUCUGACUCCCUUCAGCUGAAGCCCCAAUUUGGCUGAAACUCCUCCCACCCCUAAUAAAGUUUUGCCUGUGCAGGAGUGUGUGAA